GACCAUUGCACCAAUCGGUCUUUUCAACCGUGUCCAUUCUGGCACUAUCUAUGCCCACAUACACACUCACACAAAUUAAGCUUUGUCAUUUAAAUCCAGCUUAACAGAAUUUUGCUCAUAUAUUUAGAAAGCUUUUGGCACAAAGCAAAUAUGGAAUUAAUUAGAAAAGCUGUUACAUAAAUCACUCUAAAGUUUGGAGUUGUUUACAAGCCCCUGACCUCUAAACUGUGUCUCUCAUCUCACUGCCAGCUCCAUCAGGAUGAUUCCAGCACCGCUCCUGAUCCGCACAGCAGUGUGUCAGUGCAAGACAAUCUGUGCAGCUGGAAACCUGCCUCCAGUGUUCAGAACUUGACACACUUCACCCUGUGUCCUAAUCAGCGAUGUGAUGUUUGCAGCAAAUGUUUCCAGUGACAAAGAGAAGAAAACCCUUGUAUAUCUUCAUAAUAUCUUCUUUUGUGUUCCAUAGAAGAAAGAAAAUCAUUUUGGAAUUGCAUGAGGAUCUGACUUGAGGCGGUAAAACAAGAUAGUUAGCAACGAUUCCCCACUGAGAUUAAAGCAGACGGUAUCUAAUCAUCUGCUUUGCAACAUGCACGAUUUUAAAGCUAGUUCUGUUUUUUUAUGGCGCCAGGUCAACGCAAAGUUGAAAGCAGGAUCAAAGAUUGUCCAGCACACAUGCAUUCACAAAAUACACAGAGACAGCAGCUCUAACAAGCAUCUUGUUAUCAUGUUCAUUAGAUUUAGUUGCAGAGAGAAAGUGUUGCUUGUUAUAUUGGGAUUUACAGUACAUAUACACACAGAGUCAAGUUUUCAGAUUUCAAAGAGUCACUUAUUUAUUUUGACCAUAAUAUCAUCAUCUUUUAUGUUUUGCUAGUUUACUCUCAUGCAUUAUGUUUUCCAGCAGUCGUGGUUCAGCACGUAUUCAUGCUCCAGGAAAUGAAGAGCUUUGGGAAAAUCAGCUGGGGGUCUCUUACUAGCCUCCCGAAAUCAUGAAGCUUAUCUUGUUUUGUUUUAUUAUGUCAAGUUCAGCUAAUCAGUGAGUUCAAACCAGCGUCUGCUCAGACCACCAGAAUGAAACACUAAAACUGAGAUCUGAUAGCAAACUCAGGUCAAAAUGAAGGUUCUUCAUGGUUUCUUGCCCAUAGCUGUGUAAUUCUGUAUGUUAAAAUGCUCUCUCAUAUCUCAGUUUUGUGUUCUGACUACCUAUAAGCCAGCCAUUGUUAGUUGGAUGUACUGAAGAGUGAAAAACUCUGACGCAUUCAAAGCAUUGAUCUGUUUAUUUGAGCAAGCCAAUAUGACAACAACUGAGUCCACCAAUGACGUAAGCUUGAGGAAGAUUCCUGUUAGAUACCCUUUAAUUUGAGAUGCAGAGACAAUUAUACGUAAGCCUUUCAUAGGUCGACCUCUUGACAUCAUCUCGACCAGCCCAACAAUUUGGUAUGAGUCAAUCUAUUUGUCCAACCAAUUUGAUGAUGCUAGUGGUGCAGACGUUACACACUUCACUUUUAAUGUAUCAGUUAUAUCUACUAGACUGCGAUGAGAAAACAGGAAAGGAACUGGGGGCUUUUGAAUAAUACGUUCCAUAUGUUUUUCCAAGGAAACUGACCCUAUAGUAAUCUCAUGUCUCCUUCAGAGUUUUAGAAGAGAUCUCAAGAAUGCCAUCAAAGGUUGAAGAUCUCAAAUGAAAACAUUUCUCAUUGAAUACCUAGACCUAAUGAUCAUCUGAACUACUACAUCAACAUUAGAUGAAUAUUGACUAAGCAUCAACUAAUUUGUGUCUAUUUUAUCCGUCCUUAGGCAUUUUAGGAGAAACAUCUUAAGUUCAUCCUCUACUGAAGCGUAAUGAAGAAUUCUAUUAAGUCUCGCAGCAUUUUUUUUUCUCUCUGGGUAGGUCCAAAGAAACAUCUUAUCAACAACCGUUUUUGGCUGUUUAGGGUUCUUGAGUUUCUCUUUGCAUUUUAAAAGUUCUUCAUAUCAGUUUUUGGGUUUUUAAGCAACAGGGCACAGAUGGUUUUCUAAAGAAUUAUAAUGAAAAGGACUUUAUGGAACUUCAAAUGGUAUACACCCCUUUG